AGAGUUUGAUCCUGGCUCAGAUUGAACGCUGGCGGCAGGCCUAACACAUGCAAGUCGAGCGGUAGCACAGAAGAGCUUGCUCUUUGGGUGACGAGCGGCGGACGGGUGAGUAAUGUCUGGGAAACUGCCUGAUGGAGGGGGAUAACUACUGGAAACGGUAGCUAAUACCGCAUAACCUCGCAAGAGCAAAGAGGGGGACCUUCGGGCCUCUCGCCAUCAGAUGUGCCCAGAUGGGAUUAGCUAGUAGGUGAGGUAAUGGCUCACCUAGGCGACGAUCCCUAGCUGGUCUGAGAGGAUGACCAGCCACACUGGAACUGAGACACGGUCCAGACUCCUACGGGAGGCAGCAGUGGGGAAUAUUGCACAAUGGGCGCAAGCCUGAUGCAGCCAUGCCGCGUGUGUGAAGAAGGCCUUCGGGUUGUAAAGCACUUUCAGCGGGGAGGAAGGCGGUAAGGUUAAUAACCUUAUCGAUUGACGUUACCCGCAGAAGAAGCACCGGCUAACUCCGUGCCAGCAGCCGCGGUAAUACGGAGGGUGCAAGCGUUAAUCGGAAUGACUGGGCGUAAAGCGCACGCAGGCGGUCUGUUAAGUUGGAUGUGAAAUCCCCGGGCUUAACCUGGGAACUGCAUUCAAAACUGACAGGCUAGAGUCUUGUAGAGGGGGGUAGAAUUCCAGGUGUAGCGGUGAAAUGCGUAGAGAUCUGGAGGAAUACCGGUGGCGAAGGCGGCCCCCUGGACAAAGACUGACGCUCAGGUGCGAAAGCGUGGGGAGCAAACAGGAUUAGAUACCCUGGUAGUCCACGCUGUAAACGAUGUCGAUUUGGAGGUUGUGCCCUUGAGGCGUGGCUUCCGGAGCUAACGCGUUAAAUCGACCGCCUGGGGAGUACGGCCGCAAGGUUAAAACUCAAAUGAAUUGACGGGGGCCCGCACAAGCGGUGGAGCAUGUGGUUUAAUUCGAUGCAACGCGAAGAACCUUACCUACUCUUGACAUCCAGAGAACUUAGCAGAGAUGCUUUGGUGCCUUCGGGAACUCUGAGACAGGUGCUGCAUGGCUGUCGUCAGCUCGUGUUGUGAAAUGUUGGGUUAAGUCCCGCAACGAGCGCAACCCUUAUCCUUUGUUGCCAGCGAUUCGGUCGGGAACUCAAAGGAGACUGCCGGUGAUAAACCGGAGGAAGGUGGGGAUGACGUCAAGUCAUCAUGGCCCUUACGAGUAGGGCUACACACGUGCUACAAUGGCGUAUACAAAGAGAAGCGACCUCGCGAGAGCAAGCGGACCUCAUAAAGUACGUCGUAGUCCGGAUUGGAGUCUGCAACUCGACUCCAUGAAGUCGGAAUCGCUAGUAAUCGUAGAUCAGAAUGCUACGGUGAAUACGUUCCCGGGCCUUGUACACACCGCCCGUCACACCAUGGGAGUGGGUUGCAAAAGAAGUAGGUAGCUUAACCUUCGGGAGGGCGCUUACCACUUUGUGAUUCAUGACUGGGGUGAAGUCGUAACAAGGUAACCGUAGGGGAACCUGCGGUUGGAUCACCU
rnacentral:rRNA from 1 species